GCCCGGGUGGCGUAAUGGCAGCCGCAUCCGACUUAAGAUCGGAUUCCGUAAGGAGUGUGGGUUCAAGUCCCACCCCGGGCA
rnacentral:tRNA from 1 species